CUGAUGAACAACAAUGAUCAACAAUAUCACAACAUUAGGAUAAACCGGUUUACUGCAUAUAAACAAAUACGUAAGCCAGCAAGGUUGUAGGCAUACAACUAGUACAAAAAUAACACAUUUAGACAAACCUGUUUACUGCCAGUAAACAAGUCUAUAUAUGUAUAAGCCAGCAUACAAGUAUACAAAACAACAUCAAAACAAAUGUGUUU
rnacentral:lncRNA from 1 species